rnacentral:misc_RNA from 1 species
GUAAUUAUUAAUUUUUUUUACUGACGCUGAUUGCAAUUACAAAAGGUUUAUGGUUUGUCCUAUGGUGGGCGAACCCACCAAGGAAACAAGAAGUACGCAAAAGACACGGGUGAAUAAUUCAGCAAGGCUGUAACCCCGAAGGAUGCCAGCCCGCUUUCAUAUUGUGUAAUGAUCCCUCCGCAGGUUCACCUACGGAGA